AGGUGACCCUGGGCUGGAAGGAAGAUCUGGACUGGGCCCUGAUGGACCGCCUGGACCUGGAGGACCACCCGGUCCCAAAGGGUCGGUUGGCCGUGAUGGGGAUAAAGGUCACAGUGGUGUAUCGGGCCCUGUGGGGGACGACGGGCCCCCAGGCCCUUGUGGAUCAUCACCCACUACAGACUUAAAUGGGCCCCGAGGGGACCCUGGAAAGUGUGGUCUGCCUGGUUUCCUUGGUGCUAAAGGACACCCUGGAUAUCCUGGACCCAAAGGCAUUGAUGGGAGGGACGGUGACCCAGGAAAUGGGACGAGAGGUGUGUGUGUGUGUGUGUGUAUGUGUGUGGGCAUGCGUGGUUGGACAGUAUGUGUGUGUAUUAUAAACUAGAAAAGAAAAUGUCAUGCUUCGUGGUAGUGACUGCAGUAGUGAUGGUAGGUGUGGUAACGCAUUUUUUACCAAAUCAUCUUAAAGGAACUUUAUUCAGCUAGACAAUCAAUUUCAGACACUUAGGGAUGAUUUUGACAUGAAAUGCAAACCAUAUUGGGGAUGUUGGCAUGGUAUUGCUAUCCCGGGCAAUCCCACCUGUACGUAAAUCACAUCACUCCAUAAAUAAAGGAUGGUGUUAAUUUUCCAGAACCUGAUUUGCAAAUGUCAGAGAACAAUC